rnacentral:rRNA from 1 species
GAGUGAAGCGGCAAGAGCUCAGAUUUGGAAUCGUGUUUCGGCACGAGUUGUAAAUUGCAGGUUGGAGUCUUUGUGGAAGCGUGUGUCCAAGUCCCUUGGAACAGGGCGCCAUUGAGGGUGAGAGCCCCGUGGGAUGCGCGCGGAAGCAGCAAGGCCCUUCUGACGAGUCGAGUUGUUUGGGAAUGCAGCUCUAAGCGGGUGGUAAAUUCCAUCUAAGGCUAAAUACUGGCGAGAGACCGAUAGCGAACAAGUACUGUGAAGGAAAGAUGAAAAGCACUUUGAAAAGAGAGUGAAACAGCACGUGAAAUUGUUGAAAGGGAAGGGUAUUGGGCCCGACAUGGGGAUUGCGCAUCUCUGCUCCUUGUGGGCGGGGCGCUGUGCUUUCCCUGGGCCAGCAUCGGUUUUUGCCGCAGGAGAAGGGGUACUGGAAUGUGGCUCCUCGGAGUGUUAUAGCCAGUGCCAGAUGCUGCGUGCGGGGACCGAGGGCUGCGACAUCUGUCUCGGAUGCUGGCACAACGGCGCAAUACCGCCCGUC